rnacentral:misc_RNA from 1 species
GAUGAAGAACGUAGUGAAAUGCGAUACGUAAUGUGAAUUGCAGAAUUCAGUGAAUCAUCGAGUCUUUGAACGCACAUUGCGCCCCCUGGUAUUCCGGGGGGCAUGCCUGUCCGAGCGUCAUUGCUGCCCUCAAGCACGGCUUGUGUGUUGGGCCUCCGUCCUCCUCCCGGGGGACGGGCCCGAAAGGCAGCGGCGGCACCGCGUCCGGUCCUCGAGCAUAUGGGGCUUCGUCACCCGCUCUUGUAGGCCCGGCCGGCGCUUGCCGACACAUCAAUCUUUUUUCCAGGUUGACCUCGGAUCAGGUAGGGAUACCCGCUGAACUUAAGCAUAUCAAUAAGCGGAGGA